AACGAACGCUGGCGGCGUGGAUAAGACAUGCAAGUCGAACGAGAGAAUUGCUAGCUUGCUAAUAAUUCUCUAGUGGCGCACGGGUGAGUAACACGUGAGUAACCUGCCCCCGAGAGCGGGAUAGCCCUGGGAAACUGGGAUUAAUACCGCAUAGAAUCGCAAGAUUAAAGCAGCAAUGCGCUUGGGGAUGGGCUCGCGGCCUAUUAGUUAGUUGGUGAGGUAACGGCUCACCAAGGCGAUGACGGGUAGCCGGUCUGAGAGGAUGUCCGGCCACACUGGAACUGAGACACGGUCCAGACACCUACGGGUGGCAGCAGUCGAGAAUCAUUCACAAUGGGGGAAACCCUGAUGGUGCGACGCCGCGUGGGGGAAUGAAGGUCUUCGGAUUGUAAACCCCUGUCAUGUGGGAGCAAAUUAAAAAGAUAGUACCACAAGAGGAAGAGACGGCU
rnacentral:rRNA from 1 species